GCAGGCCUAACACAUGCAAGUCGAACGGUAACAGGAUAGCUUGCUAUCGCUGACGAGUGGCGGACGGGUGAGUAAUACUUAGGGAUCUGCCCUGGGGUGGGGGACAACCAUUGGAAACGAUGGCUAAUACCGCAUAACGUCUACGGACCAAAGGGGGCUUCGGCUCUCGCCCUGGGAUGAACCUAAGCGAGAUUAGCCUGUUGGUGAGGUAAUGGCUCACCAAGGCGACGAUCUCUAGCUGUUCUGAGAGGAAGAUCAGCCACACUGGGACUGAGACACGGCCCAGACUCCUACGGGAGGCAGCAGUGGGGAAUAUUGCACAAUGGGGGAACCCUGAUGCAGCCAUGCCGCGUGUGUGAAGAAGGCCUUCGGGUUGUAAAGCACUUUCAGUUGUGAGGAAAGGUUAACGGUUAAUACCUGUUAGCUGUGACGUUAGCAACAGAAGAAGCACCGGCUAACUCCGUGCCAGCAGCCGCGGUAAUACGGAGGGUGCGAGCGUUAAUCGGAAUUACUGGGCGUAAAGCGCACGCAGGCGGCUAUAUAAGCCAGAUGUGAAAGCCCCGGGCUUAACCUGGGAGAGUCAUUUGGAACUGUAUAGCUAGAGUUUUGGAGAGGGGAGUGGAAUUCCAGGUGUAGCGGUGAAAUGCGUAGAUAUCUGGAGGAACAUCAGUGGCGAAGGCGGCUCCCUGGCCAAAAACUGACGCUCAUGUGCGAAAGCGUGGGUAGCGAACAGGAUUAGAUACCCUGGUAGUCCACGCCGUAAACGCUGUCUACUAGCUGUUUGGACUUUCAUUAGACUGAGUAGCGAACGUAACGCGCUAAGUAGACCGCCUGGGGAGUACGGCCGCAAGGUUAAAACUCAAAUGAAUUGACGGGGGCCCGCACAAGCGGUGGAGCAUGUGGUUUAAUUCGAUGCAACGCGAAGAACCUUACCUACACUUGACAUGCAGAGAACUUUCCAGAGAUGGAUUGGUGCCUUCGGGAACUCUGACACAGGUGCUGCAUGGCUGUCGU
rnacentral:rRNA from 1 species